rnacentral:rRNA from 1 species
CGGGUGAGUAACACAUCGGAACGUAUCCAUAAGUGGGGGAUAGCCCGGCGAAAGCCGGAUUAAUACCGCAUACGAUCUAUGGAUGAAAGCAGGGGAUCGCAAGACCUUGCGCUUUAGGAGCGGCCGAUGUCCGAUUAGCUAGUUGGUAGGGUAAAGGCCUACCAAGGCGACGAUCGGUAGCUGGUCUGAGAGGACGACCAGCCACACUGGGACUGAGACACGGCCCAG